rnacentral:rRNA from 1 species
GACGAACGCUGGCGGCGUGCUUAACACAUGCAAGUCGAACGGAAAGGCCCUGCUUUUGUGGGGUGCUCGAGUGGCGAACGGGUGAGUAACACGUGAGUAACCUGCCCUUGACUUUGGGAUAACUUCAGGAAACUGGGGCUAAUACCUGAUAGGAGCUCCUGCUGCAUGGUGGGGGUUGGAAAGUUUCGGCGGUUGGGGAUGGACUCGCGGCUUAUCAGCUUGUUGGUGGGGUAGUGGCUUACCAAGGCUUUGACGGGUAGCCGGCCUGUGAGGGUGACCGGAGACAUUGGGACUGAGAUACGGCCCAGACGCAUACGGGAGGCAGCAGUGGGGAAUAUUGCAAAAUGGGAGGAAGCAUGAUGAAGAAACGCAGCGUGCGGGAUGACGGCCUUCGGGUUGUAAACCGAUUUCGCAUGUGACGAAGCGUGAGUGACGGUAAUGGGUAAAGAAGCACCGGCUAACUACGUG